rnacentral:lncRNA from 1 species
GAAAGAUUCUGGGUACAGAAAUGGUUGCAAAUAUGAUUUAAAUUUUUUUCUAGGGCUGGUGAGUUGGCUGGCAAGAUGAGUUUGCUAUCAAACCCAAUGGCCUGUGUUUGAUCCCUGGGAUACACAUGAUGCACUGAGGGUCUAAGGGCAUGCUUCUUUACGUGGAUGGAUCAAGCUCAGGUUCUCAGGCCUGAGUGACAAGGACUUUAUCCAUUGAGCCAUCUCCCUAAGCCAUCAGCCAAUUGUCUUUGAAGAAAAAAGCUAUCAGGCUGCAAGAAGCAUCCAAAGGCAUGAUGGUAUGGUCUUGUUAGAGGAACUGUGACACUGUGGGAAUGGGCAAUGAGACCCUCCUCCUAACCACAUGGGAGUCAGUAUUCUGCUAGCAGCUUUCAGAUGAAGAUGUAGAACUCUGAGCUCCUCUUGCACCGUGCCUGCCUGGAUGCUGCCAUGUUCCCACCUUGAUGAUAAUGGACUGAACCUCUAAACCUGUAAGCCAGCCCUAAAUCAAUGUUGUCCUUAUAAGAGUUGCCUUGGCCAUACUUACCUGUACAACCACUCUGGAAAUCAGUCUGGCGGUUCUUCAGAAAAUUGGACAUAGUACUACCGGAGGAUCCAGC